UACGUAGGGUGCAGGCGUUAAUCGGAAUUACUGGGCGUAAAGCGUGCGCAGGCGGUUUGCUAAGACAGGUGUGAAAUCCCCGGGCUUAACCUGGGAACUGCGCUUGUAACUGGCAAGCUGGAGUGUGGCAGAGGGGGGUGGAAUUCCACGUGUAGCAGUGAAAUGCGUAGAUAUGCGGAGGAACACCGAUGGCGAAGGCAAUCCCCUGGGCCUGCACUGACGCUCAUGCACGAAAGCGUGGGGAGCAAACAGG
rnacentral:rRNA from 1 species